rnacentral:rRNA from 1 species
UACGUAAGGGCCUAGCGUUGUCCAGAUUUAUUGGGCGUAAAGAGCUCGUAGACAGUUCGGCAAGUCGGAUGUGAAAUCUCCACGCUCAACGUGGAGGGGCCAUUCGAAACUACCAUGACUCGAGUCCAGUAGAGGAGUGUAGAAUUCCCGGUGUAGCGGUGAAAUGCGCAGAUAUCGGAAAGAACACCAGUAGCGAAGGCGGCACUCUGGACCGGUACUGACGCUGAGGAGCGAAAGCGUGGGGAGCGAACAGG